rnacentral:rRNA from 1 species
UACGUAGGUCCCGAGCGUUGUCCGGAUUUAUUGGGCGUAAAGCGAGCGCAGGUGGUUUAUUAAGUCUGGUGUAAAAGGCAGUGGCUCAACCAUUGUAUGCAUCGGAAACUGGUAGACUUGAGUGCAGGAGAGGAGAGUGGAAUUCCAUGUGUAGCGGUGAAACGCGUAGAUAUAUGGAGGAACACCGGUGGCGAAAGCGGCUCUCUGGCCUGUAACUGACACUGAGGCUCGAAAGCGUGGGGAGCAAACAGG